rnacentral:rRNA from 1 species
UACGAGGGGUGCAAGCGUUGCUCGGAAUUAUUGGGCGUAAAGGGUAGGUAGGUGGUCUCGUUUGUCUGGGGUGAAAGCCUUGAGCUUAACUCAAGAAGUGCCCCAGAAACGGCGAGACUCGAGUCUUGGAGAGGGUCGUGGAAUUCCCGGUGGUAGCGGUGGAAAUGCGUAGAGAUCGGGAGGAACACCAGAGGCGAAGGCGGCGACCUGGACAAGUACUGACACUCAACUACGAAAGCGUGGGUAGCAAACAGG